UUGGAGGGCAAGUCUGGUGCCAGCAGCCGCGGUAAUUCCAGCUCCAAUAGCGUAUAUUAAAGUUGUUGCAGUUAAAAAGCUCGUAGUUGAAUUUCGGGGUCAGUAGGUUGGUCAUGCCACUGGUAUGUACUGGUCUCACUGAUUCCUCCUUCCUGAUGAACUGUAAUGCCAUUAAUUUGGUGUUGCGGGGAAUCUGGACUGUUACUUUGAAAAAAUUAGAGUGUUUAAAGCAGGCUAACGCCUGAAUACAUUAGCAUGGAAUAAUGAAAUAGGACGUUCGAUCCUAUUUUGUUGGUUUCUAGGAUUGACGUAAUGAUUAAUAGGGAUAGUUGGGGGCAUUAGUAUCCAAUUGUCAGAGGUGAAAUUCUUGGAUUUAUUGAAGACUAACUACUGCGAAAGCAUUUGCCAAGGAUGUUUUCAUUAAUCAAGAACGAAAGUUAGGGGAUCGAAGACGAUCAGAUACCGUCGUAGUCUUAACCAUAAACUAUGCCGAUUAGGGAUCGGAUGAUGUUAAUUUUUUAAUGACUCAUUCGGCGCCUUACGGGAAAC
rnacentral:rRNA from 1 species